GCUGCAACCUUUUCUGAGGAAGCCUUACAUUUCCACUCAUUGAUGGGCAGGGCCAGUUAGAGAAGGAAGGAUUCUGAAGUCAUAGGCAAGGGUGGGCCGGGGAGAACUUUGACCCUCAGAGAAUCAAUGUCCUCUUCUGAAGCUCAGAACUUCUAGAUCUACCUUUUCACUCAAGAUGGCCACAGGGACAUGGAGAAAUGACUGCCUAGGUGUCAUCAUAAUCAGAUUUCAUUAUCAUUCCUUGACUUGACCACAAUCCUUGCUUCUGGGUCAGAAGAAAAUGUGGAGCUCACAAACCAACUGUUCUGGAGCUCCAAGUCUAGAGACACCUACCUCCGUGGGAUUUACAUAAGCCUGAGCAAAGAGCGCUCCAGCUAAGAAUAUAUCCACCCCUCUCCCUGGGCAACGUGCCUGAGAGGUGUGAAAACUGACUCACUGCACCUCUGACUCAAUGAAAAGACAAAUGUAUGAAGAAACUCCUGGAUUGAUGCUGUGGGGAGAGCCCAGUCUUUUUAGCACAUGAAGAAAGAGAUGGCUGUUACGAAGUCAAGUCCUAGAGGGUAGAAGCUUUUAUUUAAGCUCUCUCUCUCUCUUUCUCUCUCUCUCUUUCUCUCUUUUUCUUGAAUGCUUCAGACAGCUUUAGCAAGUGAAGGUUUUCAAGUAGCAAGUGAGGCACAGAGAGG
rnacentral:lncRNA from 1 species